UGUCGGCGACUUGGCAUGCGGAUGUCAUCCAUAUCAACUUUCGAUGCCAGUUUCUGCGCCUACAAUGGUGACCACGGAUAAUGGGGAAUCAGGGACCCUGAGAAACGGCUACCACAUGCAAGGAAGGCAGCAGGCGCGCAAAUGACCGACUCCCGACGCGGGAAGGUAGUGACGACA